UGCAAGUCGAGCGAAUGAAUGGGAGCUUGCUCCCUGACAUUAGCGGCGGACGGGUGAGUAACACGUGGGCAACCUGCCCUGCAGAUGGGGAUAACUCCGGGAAACCGGGGCUAAUACCGAAUAAUCAGUUCCUCCGCAUGGAGGAAUUCUGAAAGACGGCUUCGGCUGUCACUGCAGGAUGGGCCCGCGGCGCAUUAGCUAGUUGGUGGGAUAACGGCCUACCAAGGCGACGAUGCGUAGCCGACCUGAGAGGGUGAUCGGCCACACUGGGACUGAGACACGGCCCAGACUCCUACGGGAGGCAGCAGUAGGGAAUCUUCCACAAUGGACGAAAGUCUGAUGGAGCAACGCCGCGUGAGCGAAGAAGGUUUUCGGAUCGUAAAGCUCUGUUGUGAGGGAAGAACAAGUACGGGAGUAACUGUCCGUACCUUGACGGUACCUCAUUAGAAAGCCACGGCUAACUACGUGCCAGCAGCCGCGGUAAUACGUAGGUGGCAAGCGUUGUCCGGAAUUAUUGGGCGUAAAGCGCGCGCAGGCGGUCCUUUAAGUCUGAUGUGAAAGCCCACGGCUCAACCGUGGAGGGUCAUUGGAAACUGGGGGACUUGAGUACAGAAGAGGAAAGUGGAAUUCCACGUGUAGCGGUGAAAUGCGUAGAGAUGUGGAGGAACACCAGUGGCGAA
rnacentral:rRNA from 1 species